rnacentral:lncRNA from 1 species
UUCAUCUUCCCAUCACUUUCGCUCUCUACCACGAAAUACCCUAAUUUUACUGAUCCAAAAUCCAAAUUUGCAGAAAACUCAGAUCCCAAAUCUCUCACAGACCUACCCUCCCAUGGUCACCACCCUCUGCCGCCUAAAUCCCCCUCUUCACCACCGUCGUCGCCUCCUCGCUAUCCACAUCUUUCCACCCUCCUCGAAGAACAGAUCUCAAAAAUGAUGGGAAUUGAAAAAAAAAUAUGAAAGAACAGAUCUAAAAAAAUGGAAGAACAUAUCUAAAAAUCCGUUCAAGUUGAGGAAUUAGUAGUAAUCUCCGAAUCCAAAACGACGUCACCAGAUUCGUAUAUCAAAAAGUAAAUAAUUAAUCAUCAUCAUCAAAAUCAAAAUCAAAAUUUAGGACAGAUACAGAGAUUAUUAGAGAAAUUCCCAAUCAUCAACAAAGGUUGAGCUCAUUCUCAUCAAUCCACAAAAAUCAUUUUCCGUCCAAGGGGUUCCAUCACCACCGACAACAACAACGCUUGUCGACGUCAGGAAGGCCGCUUAUCGACGCUCCCGGCGGUGGUUUUUCGUUUCCGAUUUUACACAAUCCGUCCUUGCCACCGCAAUACGCCUUGGACGAUCCGCCUCAGGAUUCGUUGGAGGUUUUUUGGUAGGGGAUUCAGAUUGCCAGGAAGUCCGAUAUCGCACGUGACGGCUACGGAUGACGAAUUUG